UCUAUAAUUUGGAACGUUUUGGUUGCUCAAAUGCAGUGGAAUUGGCUGAUAGUUUACAGUUGUAAAGUUUGUGCAUUGGACACCGCACCAUCACAGUGUGUUGCUGAGAACAGCCAACGGCCUGGUUGUUUGUGGAGCCAAUUACGGCUUGUUUCCAGGUGGUGUCCGGGUUUCUGGAGUGGUACUGGGGAGUGGGGAGGUUCUUGACUGCUCUGAUGAAAUCACUUAUAGGAAGUGCCGUCAGAAGCGAUAACUGACGAUAACAGUUGCUGGCUGACUGCAGUCAACAAGUCCUCCCCAGCUGCCGGUGUCCUGGCGGAUCUUGGUUUGAGCAGUGACGUUUAUUUUCUGUAUUCACCCAGGUUGCCAGUUAGCGUGCGAUCGUAGCAGCUGAGGAUUCGAGCGAUGAGUGGCCUGCCUUGAGGGGUGCCUGAAUUGCCCCAGGUUUUGAGUGCUGGGUUGUCGAAAAUCAGCGAUCAGCAGUGUGGAGUUGAAGCCAGUGGUGCCACAGCUCAGCCCAAGUAGAGGCUAUCUUCCCAGAGAAUGGUCAGCCAUGCGAGGACCAGUGACCACCAUCAGCUUGGACUGAAAACCUAGACUUCAGUAGUUGGUGUGGAAACAUUACUUACCUGAGGCUGAGAUUCAGAGCCUGUUCCGUUACCAGCAGUAGAACCAACAAAUGUGUUUUUCUAAGAUAGGUCACUGUUGGUUUUCUAGUGUUACAAAUAUAUUUCUAGUUCUCCCUUGCCCAAAGAGCUUUCUGCACUUUUUAAUUUUGUAUGAAUUCUGUUGGGUGAGGGUCUGAGUUCUUAAGCCUAAAGCUUAUUUCUUCCUGAAAUUAGCAUUUCCAUGCAAUGACAAUAAACCAGUACUGCAAUAAA